rnacentral:tRNA from 1 species
AGUCUUAUAGUCAAACUGAUGAUAUAAAAUUGCAAAUUUUAAGUUAAAUUAAAUUUUAAGGCUU